rnacentral:rRNA from 1 species
CUACGGAGGGUGCAAGCGUUAUCCGGAAUCAUUGGGUUUAAAGGGUCCGUAGGCAGACUAUUAAGUCAGAGGUGAAAUCCCACAGCUCAACUGUGGAACUGCCUUUGAUACUGGUAGUCUUGAGUUAUAUGGAAGUAGAUAGAAUGUGUAGUGUAGCGGUGAAAUGCAUAGAUAUUACACAGAAUACCGAUUGCGAAGGCAGUCUACUACGUAUAUACUGACGCUAAGGGACGAAAGCGUGGGGAGCGAACAGGAUUAGAAACCCCAGUAGUCC